UACAGAGGGUGCAAGCGUUACUCGGAAUUACUGGGCGUAAAGCGCGCGUAGGUGGUUGUGUAAGUUGGAUGUGAAAGCCCCGGGCUUAACCUGGGAACUGCAUUCAAAACUGCACGGCUAGAGUACGGGAGAGGGGGGUAGAAUUCCAGGUGUAGCGGUGAAAUGCGUAGAGAUCUGGAGGAAUACCGAUGGCGAAGGCAGCCCCCUGGCCUGAUACUGACACUGAGGUGCGAAAGCAUGGGGAGCAAACAGG
rnacentral:rRNA from 1 species